UACGUAGGGCGCAAGCGUUGUCCGGAAUUAUUGGGCGUAAAGAGCUCGUAGGCGGCGUGUCGCGUCUGCCGUGAAAGCCCAUGGCUUAACUGUGGGUCUGCGGUGGAUACGGGCAGGCUGGAGGCUGGUAGGGGCAAGCGGAAUUCCUGGUGUAGCGGUGAAAUGCGCAGAUAUCAGGAGGAACACCGGUGGCGAAGGCGGCUUGCUGGGCCAGUUCUGACGCUGAGGAGCGAAAGCGUGGGGAGCGAACAGG
rnacentral:rRNA from 1 species